CGUCUAUAUACGUAUAGCAUAUCAAUAAGCGGAGGAAAAGAAACUAACUAGGAUUCCCUUAGUAACGGCGAGUGAAGCGGGAAGAGCUCAAAUUUGAAAUCUUCAAGGUUUUACCUUGACGAAUUGUAGUUUAAAGAAGUGUUUUCUGUUGGAGUUUUGGUAAAAGUUCUUUGGAAUAGGACAUCAUAGAGGGUGAGAAUCCCGUAUUUGACCAUUAUUUCCAGCUGUGUGAUACACUUUCAAAGAGUCGGAUUGUUUGGGAAUGCAGUCCAAAAUGGGUAGGUAAAUUUCAUCUAAAGCUAAAUAUUGGCGAGAGACCGAUAGCGAACAAGUACCGUGAGGGAAAGAUGAAAAGAACUUUGAAAAGAGAGUUAAACAGUACGUGAAAUUGUCAAAAGGGAAGCGUUUGACACCAGUGUUGUUUUCUCGAAAAUCAAUUAAAAAUGACCGGAUUUUGUGUUGUAUUGACUUUAUCAGCUUUCUGCACUUUUUUCUUGUCUUUUUUAAUGCACUUUUCGUUUAACAAGUCAACAUCAAUUUCUUUUGUUGUAAAAGAGUCAUUGGAAGGUGGCUUUCACUUCGGUGAAAGUGUUUAUAGCCUUUGGCUUCUGCAAUCGGAGAGAUUGAGGUCUGCAGCGUAGAUCCUUCGGGGUUAGAUACAUUUGUGCUAAGUUAUAGUCUUCAUAGACAACAUUGUUGACUAUGAUCAUCAUGUAGCUUACUCGCUUAUGCUAUUUUACCUACGCUUAGGAUGUUGAUAUGCAUGACUGAUAU
rnacentral:rRNA from 1 species